rnacentral:lncRNA from 1 species
GUUAUAUUCACUGUGACAAAAGUGAUCGACUCCCAUAGAGUUGUUUUCGCAACUGGCAGUGCCAAAUGACCCCUAGCGUCAGUGCUGAUAACUGGUGUUAAUUACUAAGGUAUACAAUUUCACUCUAUUAGUAUAGACAUUUACUCAGUAAGUGUAAACAGCAUCACAACCCCGCACAUAAGUUCAGUUUCUGCGUUCAAAUUUCCUUUUCGCGACACCAUUGUUGGAUCAACAAAAUCCUAAUUUGUUCCACGACAACUGCUUACUAUAUAUUGAAGACUAAUCUGAUUUAAGCUUUCCUGAAAUGUGAGAUCCCACUAGUUUAUCA